UACGUAGUGUGCAGGCGUUAAUCGGAAUUACUGGGCGUAAAGCGUGCGCAGGCGGUCUUUUAAGUCAGAUGUGAAAUCCCCGGGCUUAACCUGGGAACUGCGUUUGAAACUGGAAGGCUAGAGUGUGGCAGAGGGGGGUGGAAUUCCACGUGUAGCAGUGAAAUGCGUAGAGAUGUGGAGGAACACCGAUGGCGAAGGCAGCCCCCUGGGCUAACACUGACGCUCAUGCACGAAAGCGUGGGGAGCAAACAGG
rnacentral:rRNA from 1 species